rnacentral:lncRNA from 1 species
CAUGGAGGGAAGAUCAGCGUGCAAAGCUGGGUCGGCAAGACGUGCAAGGCGCCCCCACAGCCAUAACAAUCCCUCCACAGACCCCAUCGUGUCCUCACGGUGGUGACAACGGCCCCCCUACACUGCAGGAGAACAACGCGAGGUGAGCCCAAGCGUGCUGAUGGUGGUUUCCGAUUCAACUCCCACUCAGAGAACCCCAGAGAGCUCCUGACUCCAUCUCAGUAGGGUCCUGAAGCCCGUGCUAUGUCAGAAGACACAGGGUCUCCUGCGUCUGUGCCAGGACAGAGGAGCAGCAAAGCCUUUCUGAAGGGACUGUCGCCAGCCAAGCUGCAAUCCUUGGAAACACUAAAAACACCCAGUAGAGAUAGGGUUUCACCAUGUUGGCCAGGCUGGUCUCGAACUCCUGACCUCAAGUGAUCUACGUGCUGCGGCCUCCCAAAGUGCUGGGAUUACAAGCGUGAGCCACCGGGCCCAGCCCUAAAUCUUAUUUUUAAAAGAUGACUGGCAACGUCACCCAGCCCAAAAGACUCCAAAACACUCAAAAGGUGUGAAUAAGCUUCUCCCCUCCAGGAGUACCCGCCACCUGAGGAUACAUAAACAUAAACACUUCCUCGUCUUACUUUGCUGUGCACACCUGUCUGAAACCAUCAGCACACAGUAUGCUGGUGCACAAUGACCUGGAGCCUGAGCUGAGCCCUGUCCUGCUUUUGAUUUGGUGGAUAUGAGGUAGGAGGCUCAGCCAGAGUCAGAGGACGGAGGGUGUGUACUCCUGAGAUGCAGGGAUGGGGGAGAUGCGGGGCACCGGGCCAAGCUGAAGGGGUAGGGAGAAGAUGCCAAGUUUACAACCACCAGAUGGGCAGCACCUCCACCUGAAUUCCCAGGAUGCCACUGCCUUCACUUGGGGACUCUCUCCAGCCCCUGCAUCCGCCCCCACCAGGCAGGCACAUCUGUGUUGUUCGCACAGCUCACAGCCUAUCUGACAACUCCAAGUCCAUAGUCCCGGAAGCACUAUGGCAGACGUGAGGCUUCUAUCCUGCUCAGUUGCACACAGUGCAGGACGUGGAGUGACAUCUGCAGCACACCACUCUCUCCAAAGCCAUAACGACAUACUCAGUUUAGCCAGGCGCAGUAGAUCACACCUGUAAUCCCAGCACUUUCGGAGGCCAGGGUAAUCACUUGAGCCCAGGAGUUCAAGACCAAACUGGGUAACACAGUGAGACCCGUCUCUACAAAAAUUAGCCAGGUGUGCUGCAUGCACCUGUAGUCCCAGCGACUUGGGAGGCUGAGGUAUGGAGACUGCUUGAAUCCAGAUCAAGGUUGCAGUGAGCUGAGAUUGCACCACUGCACCCCAGCCUAGGUGACAGAAUGAGACAUAGUCUCAAAAAAUAAAAGUUAAAAAAAGGCUGGGUGUGGUGGCUCA